rnacentral:rRNA from 1 species
ACACGUAGGAGGCGAACGUUAUCCGGAUUUACUGGGCGUAAAGCGCGUGUAGGUGGUUCUGUAAGUAGGGCGUGAAAGCUCCUGGCUCAACUGGGAGAGGCCGUUCUAAACUGCAGAGCUAGAGGAUGGUAGAGGGAGGUGGAAUUCCGGGUGGGGGUAGCGGUGGAAUGCGCAGAUAUCCGGAGGAACACCGGUGGCGAAGGCGGCCUCCUGGACCAUUCCUGACACUCAGACGCGAAAGCUAGGGUAGC